UUGGGCUUAAUCAAUUUUUGAUUUGAUUAGAAUUUUAUUGAGCCUAAUUAAGCCUAAUUAUGUUGGAUUUAAAUUAGUCUAAUUGGGCCUAACUUAUUUGGUUAAAUUAGGUUGGUUUAAAUAAUGAAACCACCUUGACCCAUUCUCCCUGCGCCACCUCACUUCCACUGCGCCCAUUUGAAUUCACGAGAAGGAAGUUCUCAUAAAUUUUUUCUCAUGCAAAGCCCUCCUCAUACCCUACUUUAAUGCACCAAAUGAGUGGAUAAGGAUGAUUGGUUGGCCAUUCAAAUUCAAAAUAAAGUUUGAAUUUGAAUGAGCAACCAAUCUUAGGGCCUUGACCUUAUCCUCUUUUAGCGCCCCAUUUAUUACAUGAGAAAAUGUUUCUCAUGAAAUCACUCACGCACAAAUUAAGCCAC
rnacentral:lncRNA from 1 species